AAUUUGAAUUCUUCUUAUUACUGUAUUUAUAAAAAUAAAAAAAAUAAAAGGGCUCACAUUUGUUUCAAUUCCCU
rnacentral:ribozyme from 17 species